rnacentral:rRNA from 1 species
CGUCGAGCGGCGGACGCGGUGAGUAAUACUUAGGAAUCUACCUAGUAGUGGGGGAUAGCACGGGGCAAACUCGUAUUAAUACCGCAUACGACCUACGGGAGAAAGGGGGCAGUUUACUGCUCUCGCUAUUAGAUGAGCCUAAGUCGGAUUAGCUAGAUGGUGGGGUAAAGGCCUACCAUGGCGACGAUCUGUAGCUGGUCUGAGAGGAUGAUCAGCCACACCGGGACUGAGACACGGCCCGGACUCCUACGGGAGGCAGCAGUGGGGAAUAUUGGACAAUGGGGGAAACCCUGAUCCAGCCAUGCCGCGUGUGUGAAGAAGGCCUUUUGGUUGUAAAGCACUUUAAGCAGUGAAGAAGACUCUUCGGUUAAUACCCGGAGACGAUGACAUUAGCUGCAGAAUAAGCACCGGCUAACUCUGUGCCAGCAGCCGCGGUAAUACAGAGGGUGCAAGCGUUAAUCGGAAUUACUGGGCGUAAAGGGAGCGUAGGUGGCUCGAUAAGUCAGAUGUGAAAUCCCCGGGCUCAACCUGGGAACUGCAUCUGAUACUGUUGAGCUAGAGUAUGUGAGAGGAAGGUAGAAUUCCAGGUGUAGCGGUGAAAUGCGUAGAGAUCUGGAGGAAUACCGAUGGCGAAGGCAGCCUUCUGGCAUAAUACUGACACUGAGGCUCGAAAGCGUGGGUAGCAAACAGGAUUAGAUACCCUGGUAGUCCACGCCGUAA